CGUCAUGCCCGCGUCAUUCGGAACCUUCACCGACAGCUGCCGUUGCGAUCCUGCAUGUGCGUGUCAGCACCACAACAACGGCGCUGCCCAGAUCUCAAAACUCCCGUCGUCAUGCCCGCGUCAUUCGUCGAAAUCUUCACUGACGCCCGCCGUCGCGAUUCUACAUGUGCGUGUCAGUAGGAGCAUCUCCCGCAUUGGCCUCGACCGCCUCUCGUCGUCUCCCUCUCUUUGAGUCACAGGCCGGCGGCGAGCUCGUGGAGGCAUGGAGGCCCGGCGGCCAUGGCUUCCUGCGAAGGAGAGAGAGAGAGGGAGGUGAGAGAUAGAAGUGGAGGGCGAGGAGGGAAGGAGAGGAGGGCAGGGUGGCGCCUUAGUCCGACGGCGGCGCUCCGGUGGCUGGCCUGCGCGGGGUGGAGGGAAGGCUCGAGCGCGAGCCCGCGCAUGGAGGCGUUGGGUGCGGUCGGCGGCGGCGGACGCAGGAUCGCGGGUUGGAUGCAAAUAAAUGAAGGGUGCCUUUUGUAAAAAUGAAACAUUUUCUCAGGUCCAUUUAAAAUAGAACUGCGGGUUGAAUAUCUAAAAACAUAAGGGCUUUUCUGUAAAACUGUCGCAACGUACCACCAGAAGCACUUCGUGCUUUAUUAUUACUAGCAAAAGAGCCCGUGCGUCGCAACGGGAGAGAAAACAUAACACACGCUCUUAACUCAACAACCAUCACUCAAGACCACAAUAGGUCCAUCUGCUUUAUUUUUACGAGGCAUCAUAUUUGUGUUGCCGCUUAUCCUCCUUCUCACCCUCGCCGGUGAUGGCCUCGGUGUUCACACAAAACAACAAAAAAGUGUGUUGAAUAUGGUUAAUCCUAAGGCGUCUCUCUCUCCCUCUCUCUUCCCUCUCCCUCCCUCUCUCUCUCUCUCUCGCUUUCUCUCACUCUCGCGAUGAAAAAUCUGUUGUUUUCCCCUGCGACAUUUUUCAGAGGUAUGCAUGUGUAGUUAUUGAUGUUUUUUUUCGUAUAUGGUUAUAGUGGGGUGUUUAUUUGCAAUCCAGAUCGCCGCCGGUAUGAAAAAAACAAAUUGCGCUAUAAAUUAUAAGUUUGCUUCCAUAACAAUAUUUUAAAAAUAUUUAACAGGUAAAAUUAACAUCAUAUUUAGAUUCCACGCAUUUUUCUAAUGAAAUUUCAUAUAUAAUAUGUUAAAAUCAAAGUUACGGUUUAAAAGAUACAGAUAAUUUAGAAAAUCAUUUGGUUUGACUCGAAUAUACUUAAAAAUACUUAACAGGUAAAAAUAAUCGCAUAUUCAUAUUCUACAUAUUUUUCUAAUCAAAUUUCAUAUAUAACAUGUUUAAAUCGGAGUUACGGUUUAAAAGAUAUGGAUGAUUUUAAAAAGCAUUUGUUUGACUUAAAUAUGAUCCGCGGAUGAAUUACCUAAAACAUCAUGGGGGGUUUGAAAAAUGUAAAAUAACGGUUCGGGUAUGACUUAAAUCCGGACGGCGGGUUGAUUUGAAGAAAAAACAGGGAAUUUUGUGUAAAAUACAAAAUAACGAUUCGUUUUAACUUAAACCAGGACUGCGGGUUGAAUUCUCUGAAAUAGAGGGACUUUUCUGAAAAAUGUCAUGACGGACGAAAGAAACCCAAUUUGCUUUAUUAUUAGGUAAAGACUAGCACAUAUGCCCGUGCGUUGCAACGGGAGAAUUAAUUGAUGUGUCCACCGAAAUAACCAUGCAAAUGGCCCAACAACAUCGGGUGCCAGCGAAAAUUCAUAUAAGUAGUACUACAUUAAGAAGCAUGCUACACAUACAAUAGUUUUGGAGUGGUUUUUGUACGACAAUUUUGAUCUUAAAGAACCUGAUUUCAAAAUUUUCAUACAAAGCCAUUAUUUCUUAAGUUGAAGCAAUGCUUGAAAUUUGCAUCAAGUUGUAAAAAAAAUCUUAAUAAAAGGGUUUUGUUAAACGUUUUUUGGGCCAUCUCUUCGUAUGCUUGAAGAUCAAUAAAAGAAUGUCUACGUCUGAGCGAAACAACCCUAGUUCCUUGCAUGCCAAAAAAACGAAGCUGAAUGAUGGAUGAUUUUUUUUCUUUUCUAUUUUUAUCCUUUACAUAUGAAAAAACGGGAGUAAGAAACGUACGUUAUAUAUAUAGGUAUAGAAAAGAAAAGUACUAACUAAGUGUGCACCAUAAACACAAUUUAAAAAAGUACUAACAUGUAAGAUAAUAUCAUAUUUAGAAUCUACACAUUUUUCUGAGCGAUUUUCAUAUAUAAAUGCUAGAUUUGGAGUUAGCGUUUGAAAGAUAGGAAUAUUUCAAAAAAUACUUGAACCUGUGGAAAAAAAGUUUAAAAAGUAGCUGGGCCAAGACAAUAUCAUAUUUAGAAUCUACACAUUUUUCCGAUAGAUUUUCAUGUAUAACAUGCUAAAUUUGGAGUUAGCAUUUAAAAGAUAUGAAUAUUUCAAAUAAUAUUUGAAUCUGUGGAAAAAAAUGUAAAAAGAAAAAUGAGCUGGGCUGAAGCCGGGGAAAGGCAGUAAAAUGGGACAAAGAUUGGGAUCGAACCCAAGUCCCCCCGCUGUGAAGGUUGUGCCUAAGCCAGUCGGGUGCUUGCAUGCUUUUUGUCAAUGUGAGGGCCUAGCCGUACAUAAACGCAACCAGCGGUCACCUAAUAAAAACGAAUCGUUUUUGCCACUUAGGGUGGCAUUGGUGGGUAAUUCUUGCCAACUUCAAGGGUAGGUUUUAUGACGUAUGACCAAAAACCCAAUUUGCUUUAUUAUUAGAUAGAGAUUAAGGGAAGAGGGGAAGAUUAGGGGAAGAUUAUUUCGUCCGUAUCUAUGAGAAGUUGAGAACAAUGGUUUGCAUGAAGAUUGGGCCAAAAUUACUGUUCUGACCUCUUCAGCAAUCUUUGUCACAAAAUGAACUUGACACGAAAGUAUUUCACGAUCUGAUCCUUUUAGCAACGCUACAGCCCGUGGCGUUUCUUCUCCACAUAAAAACGCCGAGACAGCUCGCGUUUCGGCUUCACAUUCAAACACCGAGCUAGCUCGCGUUUUUGCUCCAUAUGGAAACGCCAAAAUGGCUGGCGUUGCUGCCUAGGCCGAAACGCCAUGAGCUUUGGCGUUUCUAGCUGAAACUCUCGAGUGCAUGCAAAUAGUACUCUUUGUUUGUGCAUGCAAAUCAUUAGUAGACUUUCUUUGCAUGCUAGUUAGGAGAUGGUGGAGUACUACAUAUAUUUUAAGUGCUCACGGACCCUUACAUGCAUGCAUCAAAGCACGGCAUGCAUACAGCAUACGUCUUGUCUACUUGUUGCGUGAGUGCAUGUAGCCUCCAGUACUAGCUCAUGGUUAGCUGCAUUUUUCUUCAAGCGGCUAGCUCUUGUACUACACUGUAUUACUAGUACCAUAUAAGACAAGACAGUAGAUAUUCUUGCAUGAGGUGAUUUAGCUUUGAGCUGCAUGGGCUACGAUCCUAGUUCUUGGAUAGGAGCAGGCACGUCUCAUUUAUUUGGGAUAGAAAUGUAUGCAUGCAUAUGGAAACGCCAAGGCUCGUGGCGUUUCGGCCUGGGCAGCAACGCCAGCCAUCUUGGCGUUUUCUUAUGGAGCAAAAACGCGUGCUAGCUCGGCGUUUGAGUGUGGAGCCGAAACGUAAGCUAUCUCGGCAUUUUCAUAUCGAGAAGAAACGUCACGGGCUGUGGCGUUGCUAAAAGGUUUAUAUCGUGAAAUACUUUCAUGUCGAGUUCACUUUAUAACAAAGAUUGCUGAAAAGGUCAGAACAGUGAUUUCGGCCGGAAGAUUGUAGGAAAUAAAUCAGUUUGAUCUCAGAGUAUUGUCAACUAAUUGCUCUAGGAAACAUGUAUCUUUAUAGGAUGGGUAUUUUUUUAUCUGAGCCAUUUGUCUUCAAUCCAAUGUUUAUGCAAAAAUGGUAUAUUCUCCCACCAUCACUCAUAUAUUAACGUUUCUUAAAUUUAGUGUGAUGUUACAAAAAAUAUUCCAAAUCUAAUAGCAUUAGUUUCACAUGAUGAAACUAAGUAGUCUUUCCUAUAAUAUGUCAAACGAAGUUAGAUAAGUUCGAUGCAUGCGUACUACCUAUUUACAAACAAAGACGGUCUUUCAUGGGACUCCAAGUACGAUCUACAUCGACUUGUCUACUUCCGGUGCACUCCGGAGUCUGUAAACGAUCAUUGAUUCAAACCUUAUAUGCAUCUUCAUAGUGUUUCUGGGUGAUCGUAGGACAAUUUUUUUGUUUUGUACUAUGUUUUCCAACACUCCUUACCCGGCGGCGUGGGGGCAUGGCUACUAGUGGUGGCAGACGGCGAGUGGAAAGUGGCGAGGGCCACGGACGGGAGGGGGAAAUGUCGACGGGUAGGGUUGUGGUUCCGGCGGUCGGCUUAAAUAGUCGGGCCAUCAGUGAGAUACUACUCUGGAGGAGAUCGAAUUCUAACCUUGUGCGGCCAAGGAACAUCAGGUAGACAAUUUCUAUGGGGCCUGAGCCUCCCAAAAGGUAACAGAUGCGUGCAAAGGUUUCCUCGGGCCAGACGAACAUUGGUCCUCGAGUGCAAAGGUAGAAGGGAGCUUAACUGCAAGACUCACACGUCGAGCAGAGACGAAGGUCGGCCUUAGUGAUCCAACGGUGCCGAGUGGAAGGGCCGUCGCUCAACGGAUAAAAGUUACUCUAGGGAUAACAUGUUGAUCUUCCCCAAGAGUCCACAUCGACGGGAAGGUUUGGCACCUCGAUGUCGGCUCUUCGCCACCUGGAGCUGUAGGUGGUUCCAAUUGUUGGGUUGUUCGCCCAUUAAUGCGGUACGUGAGAUGGGUUCAGAACAUCGUGAGACAGUUCGUCCAUAUUCGGUGUGGGCGUUAGAGCAUUGAGAGGACCUUUCCCUAGUACGAGAGGACCGGAAAGGACGCACCUCUGGUGUACCAGUUAUCGUGCCUACAGUAAACGCUGGGUAGCCAAGUGUAGAGAGGAUAACUGUUGAAAGCAUAUAAGUAGCAAGCCCACCCCCAGAUGAGUGCUCUCUCCUCUGACUUCCUUAGAGCCUUCGAUAUCACAACCGAGACAGCGACGGGUUCUCCACCCAUACGGGGAUGGAGCGACAGAAGUAUGGAAAUAGGAUAAGGUAACGGUGAGACGAGCCAUUUAAAUAGGUGUCAAGUGGAAGUGCGGUGAUGUAUGCAGCUGAGGCAUCCUAAUUUGAACUUUGUUCAUACACAACCCGAUCAAACCGAUCAGGCACUUGCCAUCUAUCCUCAUUGUUCAACUCUUUGAUGAAAAGAUGAAAAAACCAAAAAAACAGUUCUACCCUUCCAUCUCUUGGAUAUAUAGAGAGGGAGGGCAGAGGCCUUUGGUGGCACUACGCAGCCCGCCGGAGCGGCGCCACGCGGAGCCAUCGGUCUGAUGGUGGAGAUGAGUUUCGAACCAUCGGGUUUCGGAGUGUUUUCCUGUGGGAUCCCAUCGUCGGUCCUACAUGGCUAUGAGGAGUGUCGAUCAGCCCCAGCGUUUGAGGCCCAUCUGGGUUGCAUUUUCGUGACCAAUCAAUGACCGGGUCGUCCUCCCAGUCGUUUGAGGCGGGUUUUGGGCGACCGGCUGUAGAUGCUCUAAAACCCUACGUAUACAUGAAGAGACAACGACGCUUGGCGGCUCGUUGAAAUGAAAAUCCUGCACUGUGUGGUGUGUUGCUGAGCGACUAGUUAUGUGUAUUGAUCCUUGGGCAGCGAUGCCCGCCGAUUACUCCAACAUGUCGUCCCCUGCCGAUGGUGUGUGUCCUACGACCAGUGAGGAUGCACCGUCUGCCCUGCUACACUACUUCUACGACCCACUGGAAGAUAUCGAUGUGGUUUUGCCGCAUCUUCUUCUUCCUCACCAUUUGCCUCUCGUGGAUGUGGAGGAGUGUUGCUGGUAUGUUCUUGGGCAUCUCUUAUAACCCCUUGCCGGCCUUGGUCCUUCACAACUAUAUUGGCCCUACCGUUGGCUUAGCCGUCGUUCACCUGGAGACCGUGUGGGCGGCAGGCCAUGUCGGUUACGCUCUCGCCGUCUAUCGCUUGGAGGUCGGGAGUGAGCAAGUCGUUAUUGUUGCCGACUUUCUUACCACGCUCUCCGCUGGUAGGAGCAAAUAGGAGAAGGAGAACGAUAGCACGACGCAUAUCUACGUGUUCAUGGUUGGCAUAGUUGUGUUGCCCCUUAACGUUAACGUUCUUUUGGUUUGCCUCAUCACAAACAUGUCGAAGAUUAACCAAAAGGAAAUCUUCCUUGUUGUGAUGAUGUUUUCGAUUAUAACAUAGUGGAUCAUUUGCUCUUGGACUUUGUUUAUGGCAAGACACAAAGCUUUGAUGCCGAUUUGAGGCCAUGAUGCCGCUUUUUAUUAGUUUUAUGGCAUCCCAUGUUCUAAGUAUUCCGUUGAUCUUUGUCACCAAAUUUUCGUGGGUGUACUUUGCAAUCGAGACGAUGGCCGCUGUCAAUGUCCGUUGUCAAGAUUUGCCGAAGGAGGAAGAUGCAGAAGCCUGAAGAUUGUUUCUUGUCUUCCUAUCCAUUGUUUAAGUACUCCCUCUUUUUCCUAAAUAUAAGCCAUUUUAGAGAUUUCAAUAUGAACUACAUACAUAUGUAUAUAGACUUAUUUUAGAGUGUAGAUUCACUCAUUUUACUUCAUAUGUACUUCAUAUUGAAAUAUCUAAAAAGGUUUAUAUUUAGGAACGAAGGAAGUAUAACCAACAAGUUGUCUCUAUAUUAUUUCGUGCCUUUGUAUCUCGUUUAGCUAUCCCGACUCAACAUAGAGCUUACAUGGUAAACCACUUUUAGGGCUCAUUUGGUUGCAGCGGAUGCCUCCGGGAUCCCCGCCUAAAACCAGGGUAUGGAAACCACGAGGCAACUCAGGCCUGGGCAAAACCGCCUGUGCAUUUGGACGUCUUGCCGACGGGGUAAACUGCCCUCAUCUACAUCACUUCCACGGAAAGAUAAUCCACGCAUCGCUGCAUCGGGAAAGAGAUCCCUGGCAUGGCUCUCUCGUGAUUGACCGCCUCUGCCUCUGCUUUUCCUCCCUAUCGAGAGACCCACCUAUCGGUCCCUGGCUCUCCCCCUCCUGGAGCACACCCACCUAUCGAUCCCUGGCUCUCCCCCUCCCACUUCCCUUGCCGCCAAACUAUCACGACUAAUCUCCCCCAUCGAGAGAAGGGGAUCCCCAUGUGCUGGUAAAAAUCCCCUUUGAGGAUUUGGUGCCCUGGGUGACCCUCCCUUGACUACCAAAUGAGCCCUCAUGGUAUGUUUUGGCACAUGUGUACCUUAUAUUGUUAAAACAACGUUCAUGCCCUCGCAUGAGCUUGUGGAGGCGAAACCAGAAGCUCAGACAAUAUCUAAAAUAACAAAAUCGAAACGCAUGCAAAAGCACAGCAUCGUCUUAGUAGUACAAGCUCAAGCAUCACAGCCAGAGGGACUGAUGCUGCAAGAGAACGCAGCAUCGACCAAGUCCAGCAAGAAUUAUUUUGUCUUUUUUUUUUGAGGGAAAGCAAGAAUUAUUUUGUCGCAAAAUAGUAAGGAAAAAACGAGUACAAACACAGUUCGCCAUGGGCCUGAACUACAGCCAGAAGCCUGGGGCCCAAUUUAGUUCAGCCCAAAUGACUGGGACCCUCUCUCUCUCCACGGGAGUCCCAAACGCCGAAACCCUAGACAACUGCGAUGACCGCUGACCGCCGGCCGCUUUCCCCUCCGCCCUUCUCGUCUCCGGCGAUUGCCUGCCCACCGCCAGCGCUCUCGGUAAGACCAACUUCCUCGAACCCUAGGCGCACAACCCCAUCUCAAUUCAUCGUCGCCCUCGUUUUGCUCACCGCAUCUAUUUACCAGAGCCGACGGCGAUGUCGUCUUCGAAGCCGCGCCCCGCCGCCUCCAGCUCCGGCGACCUGCCCGCGGACGCGCUGUACGAGGUGCUCCUGCGGAUCCCGGCCAAGGAGCUCUGCCGCCUCCGCGUCGUCUGCCCCUCCUGGCGCGCCCUCACCUCCGAGGCUCCGACCAGCACUUCGUCGCGGCGCACAAGUCACGCCACCAAACGGCGCCCCCGCUCCUCGCCACAGCCUACCACGACGACAACGGGAUCAACGGCGUUGAGAUUUCGGAUUUGUCCGGCAAUGUGGUGAAGCGGAUACCAAGCGCCGGGUAUGAAGUUGUUCCGGUGAGCGGGUUGUCCGGCGAUGUCGAACGCCAGAUCAAGGGCGAUAGCAUCCGUGUUGUGCGCGCGCGGCUAGACCGCGUCUGUUUCAACUGGAAGUUUUACUCUUGGGCCUUCUCGGUGCUGAACCCGGCCACUGGAGAUAGCAUCGCCUUGCCGACGGGCUUCUUGAUGGAAUUAGCGCAUGAGCUAGAGGUGGAGUGGACAAAGGAAUGGCACUGCCGAGUCGCGUUGUGUGCUUUUGGGCAGGUCUCCUCCACAAGAGAGUACAAGGCGCUCCGCGUCUCUGAAAUUCGUGACCGGAAAGUAUGUGAGGUUAUUACCUUUGAUGACGCCAACCAUGGAAGCUGGAGGAGAAAGCAAGACCCUCCGUCGCCCCACAUCUUUCCCAGUAGAUCAAUGAGAUGUGUGGUCGUCGAUGGGGUGGUGUACUUUUUGAAAGACUUUUACAGCAAUUAUUCUAAAACUGGGGUUAUUACCAUUGAACCUGGUAGCGUAGCUUCGUGUAACCUCGAGACGGAGGAGUGGGGUGUUUUACGUGGUCCAGAACAGGUGCAGAGUUUUGUGCAAGAGAACGAGCAUUACACCUACAUAAAACUUGAUCUCCAGUUAGAAUUGGCAGAGUUGAACAACUGCUUAGUUAUGGUUCAUAAUAUUUAUAGCAUAUCCAUAGACUUGUGGUUUUUGACAGAUUUUGAGAAAGGUAUCUGGGUUAAGAAAUACAGCAUGCCUUCACAAGUUGCUAGGCCUUUUACCAAUCCUUUGCUGAUGUUAGAUGACGGGAGGAUCUUCUUCAGUGAAGCGAAUUUCUUUGGGGAUAGAGAGGGAUUUCUGCGUUGUUAUGACUUAAAAAAUGACACUUACACUGAUGUGCUACAACUGAAAGAUUCAGAAUCCAUUGGCAUUUACGAAGGAAGCCUGCUGAGUAUAUAGAGCAGUUGUUACUGAUGAGGUGAAUAAUGUAUCGUACUAUCUGUUAUUUUACCUUAUGGGAACAAUUAGUUAGACAAUGUACUGAUGCAUGAUAUGAUGAAAGAGUACUUUUUUGCCUUCAAAGUAUAUUUAUUAAUCUGAUAUAUUUCUAUGAGAAGAUUUUGCAGUUUUUUGUUCACUACAUAAUGUAUGGCAAUUCCAGGAGUUACUAUAUAGCUAUGGUCAGUAUGGAAUAUACAAGCUUUUGAUGUGUUGUUUAAAAAUAUAGUACUCUGCUCCAACUGCAUAACAAUUGUUCUGUUCCAUCGUAUUGAGGAUUACUUGUCUCCAGCUUUACAGUUUUAUCUUCUUUACAAUGCAAACAAUUGUUUCCAUCAACUACAAAAAAGGGUUUUGAUCCAUUGUAAUGACUGGUUGAUGUUUGAGCUGAUUGCUAUGGACUUCUUUUUAGCGUGGGACACCAUAGUGUUCCUUAGGGCUAGAGGUGUACUAAUUGGUUAGUUUUGUGGGAUAAGCAAUCUGUCGUUUGCAUCUGUGGGUCAAGUUGAGCUUUUCUUUUUGGCAAAUUGAAGCCCUCUUUCCCUCAAAGAGGGCUUAACUUUAUAUUUUAGCAACCUAAACAGUGUACAAGGAGCGGAGAGGCAUCCCUAAAGGAAAAAAAAAUGGCUUCAAAGACCAUUCUGAAAUUACAUCCGGAGGCUCUACUGCUGCAUAAGAAAGCCUUCUUGGCUAGAGAGUGGGCAAGGAGAUUCUUGAUCCUAGGAAUGUGUGUGACCUUGAAAGAGUUGAGGCGUGAAGCAAUAUUGAGGAAAUCUGCAAGUAUAGGUAUGAUCCUCCAGUGUCGUGGAUUUUCAAGUAAAUUCCUUGCUUCGACAGCAUCAACCAAUGUCCUGCAAUCAGAAAAGAAGGAAAUUGCGUUCCAACCCAAUGCCUUGAUAGCCGAAGCAGUGAGAAGUAAAUGUAGGAAUUUGUGUCCUUCAACUACAUCCAAAUAUUGUUUGUUAAUUAUUCAUGAACCUCUUUGUGGAAACAUGCUUUGUGUAAGCAUGGAAUUAUUAUCUUCGUUAGAUGGAAUUGCUUAUUGAUGGAAUUAAUGUAUACAAGCUAGUCGACAUUGUAAUGUCAAUGUUUAAUUCUUGCUGGAUUAUGCACUUGAGGGUUUGCUUGAUGAGGCUGGAUGGAAUUAAUGUAUAUAAGCUAGUCGACAUUGUAAUGUCAAUGUUUAAUUCUUGCUGGAUUAUGCACUUGAGGGUUUGCUUGAUGAGGCUGGUUGAUUAAUAUUGGAAUACAGUAUACAUGUACUGAAAAAUAUUACUCCCUCCGUCCCAUAAUAUAAGAACGUUUUUGACACUAGUGUAGUGUUAAAAACGUUCUUAUAUUUUGGGACAGAGGGAGUACCCAGGAACAAUUAACUGGAAGGGAACUAGGUCGAUAGUCAAAAUACAUCCUAAGCGCACAACUCACAUGUGUGUCCUAGGACAGAACAAAUAGUGUUCAAUUAAAGAUGGAUUAUAUUAUGGUUAUUAAUCGCACCUAGACUCUAUUUGAAAACAUGUUAGUUUAAACUUGGAAGCUUAUGACCAUGACUCUAGAAUUAGCAGUACAAGUAGGUGCCAUCCUUUAACCUCAAAUCGCAUUGUGAGUGACGCCACCGAUAAAGCGGAGAAAUAAAGGGUAGGCCUAAAUCCUAAAUUUUUCGUAACAGUAAACCCAUAGUUUCUGCCUGCAAAAUAGAAUACAUAUUCGGGGCUGCCGCUUGAAUGAAAACCGAAUGAUUAGAAUAUUCAUUUUCUAGGAACACUACAAAUAAUGCCUCAUUUCCUGCCACAAACAGGAUUAAAGACCACAUCAACAUAAGCCAAAUGACCUGCAGAUCGUAAAUACAAAUUUGUGCAUGGUAAGUAAUUUUUUUGAACUUGGUACAGUUUUUUCUUCCAUCUUCCUCGGUAUUCUCCUUUGAAGCAGCAUUUAGCAAAGGGGUCCAAACGUUCUUUGUUGAAUAGAAUAUCAUUGCUAGUUUUCCAAAUAUUUUAAAGACGAGUGAAGACUGUGGCUAGGUCAAGUUGAGCUUGGCACCUUUUUCUUUUUUGAGAAAAUGCGACACAACUCACUGUGGGCCGUAAAACUUGUCGGGUUGCAAAAACCAGGGGGAAGCCUGAGGCCCAUUUCGGUUGACUUCGGGACUUCGGGACCCUUCUUGGCUGUCCCAAAGGCCGAAACCCUCGACAAGUGCGGCGGCCACUGACCACCGGCGCUUUCCCCUCCGGCGAUUGCCUGCCCGCCGUCGGCGCUCUCGGUAAGACCAACUCCUCCGUCUCCUCGGCACGCAAUCCCAUCUGAAUUCAUGGUCAAUUUGGCUCCCUCGCUUGCUCACGGCGUCCAUUUACCGCAGCGAUGUCGCCCUCGAGGCCGCGCCCCGCCGCCUCCAGCUCCGGCGACCUGCCCGCGGACGCGCUGUACGAGGUCCUCCUCCGCAUCCCGGCCAAGGAGCUCUGCCGCCUCCGCGCCGUCUGCCCCGCCUGGCGCGCCCUCACCUCCGACCCGCUCUUCGCCGCGGCGCACAAGUCCCGCCACCACACGGCGCCCCCGCUCCUCGCCAUGGGCUACCGCGACGACAGUGGGGUCAGCGGCGUUGCGAUUUCGGAUCUGUCGGGCAACGUCGUGAAGCGGACUCCAGGCAACGAGUAUGAACUUGUUUUCGUGAAUGAGUCGGGUGAUGCCAUUGGCCGGUUCACAAGCAAGGACGAUAGCAUCUGUGUUGUGCGCACGCGGCUGGACCUCGUCUGUUUCAACAGGAAUGCCCUCUGUGGGUUCUUCUGGGUGCUGAACCCAGCCACUGGAGCUACCAUCGACUUGCCAAUGGGCUUCUCUGAGGAAAUUGCGCAUGAGCUAGAGGUGAAGGGAAUAAAGGAAUGUAGCUGCCGACGUGAGUUGUGUGCUUUUGGGCAGGUCUCCUCUAGCAGGGAGUACAAGGUGCUCCGCAUCUCUAGAGUUGAUGACCGGAAGGUAUGUGAGGUUAUCACCUUUGAUGACACCAACCAUGGAUGCUGGAGGAGAAAGCAGGACCCUCCGUCCCAUAUCUGUACCAGUCACAGGAUGAGAUAUGCGGUCGUCGAUGGGGUGGUGUACUUCCUGAUGGAAUUUUGCUACUCUAAUUAUGAAACUGGAGUUAUUACCAUUGAACCUGGUAGCGUAGCUUCUUUCAACCUCGACACAGAGGAGUGGAUGGGUGUUCUACGUGGUCCAGAACAGCUGGAGAGGUUUUUGCAAGAGAACGGGGGAUACACUUACUCGGGACUUGAACACGAGUUAUCAUUGACUGAGUUGAAAGGCUGCUUAGUUGUGGUUCAUAAUAUUUACAAAGUAUCUAUGGACUUGUGGUUUUUGACAGACUUUGAGAACGGUAUUUGGGUCAAGAAAUACAGCUUGCCUUCACAUGUUGCUAGGCUUUUUUGGUAUCCUUUUCUCAUGUUAGAUGAUGGGAGAAUUUUCUUCAGUGGGAUGGAUUGUCUGGAAGGUAUAUUAAGUGGUGGAGAGAAAGGAGAGGGAUUUCUGCAAUGUUAUGAUCCAAGGAAUGGCACAUGUACUGAUGAACUAAAACUGAGAGAUCCCCGAUCAAUCGGCAUUUACACAGGAAGCCUGCUGAGUUUAUAGAGUAGCUGUUGCUAAUGAGGUGAAUAAUUCAUCGUACUGGCCGUUUACCUUAUGUUGUAAUGUGAACAAUUAGUGAGACAGUGGACUGAUGCAUGCAUUGAUGAAAAAGUACUUUUGUGCCUUUCAAUUAAAGUAUAUUAUCAUAAUCUUUGAUAACAUUUUGCAUGAGAAGAUUUGCAGCUUUUGGUUCGUUCCAUUUUGUAUGGCAAUUUCAGGAGUUUGGUCAAUAAGUUGCUACUAUAUGCUAUAGUCAGUUCGUAAUAAGCAAGCUUUGGGAUGUGGUCUUUCAAAAUAUAAUACACUGCUCCUAGUGCAACAUAUGAGUACAUGAAUGCAUAAUUUGUUCCUUUCUUCAAACAGAUAAGGAUUUGCUAGGUAAACAGUAACAUGUUCCAUGAAAGUGAUCUUUACUCUUUGAUGCUUGUCUCGCAUUUAUGUUGUCUUUGACUGUUCAAUACUACCUGGUGUACGUUGGUGUCAUACCGAGUCACAUCUUUUCUUUCAAUGUUAUUUUUCUGUCUUCAGGCUGUUCUCUUUUGUCAGAAUUCUUUUACUCAAUUUUGUGCUUGUAGCCGGCUCCAGUUGUGAAGGGAUAUUUUUUUUGUUUGCGAACUCAUGAUGAAUCUGUUUGCUGCUCUUAGCUAGGAAAUCCAGGACACUGUGGCUCAUAUCACGAAGUUCAUGUAAUCUCUAGCUGUGGUAAUUUACGGGUUCUCUUCUCCACUACGCUUCCAUGUAAAAUGCAGAGGAUGGCAGGGAGCUUUUCCGUGACAACUAGAAACUAUGAACCCAACUCUGAAGAUCAAUGCUUAUUGCACAAAGAGCGUGCUUAUUGUCUGUUUUGUUUUUGCGCUGGGCGCUAGUUGGAUAAUUGGAUUUUUGCUGAUUUUGGUCUUGUGACUGGUCUUUUGAGUGUGUUUGGUCUUCCAGUUUUAGAUCUGCUUGCAUCUGCAUUUAUGUGGAUGCCUUUUAGAAAUGAUCUCUUGUCUUUUUCUGGAUGAACUCGGAAACAUAUUCAGUACCAAAGAAACGUGGAAAAUUUCUGAGUACCAGUCAGUUGGUUUUGGUAUACUAGUAACCAUGCACGUACAAGGCUUCUCACAUAAAAUUUAUCUUUAACAUCCAAAGGAUUUCAUGCCUAGUAUAAUUCUUUCAGUGAACAUGCAAAACUCUAAUGAAGCUUUUAGUGCCUAAAAUCAUCAAUCAACUUCUAAAAUACCUGCUUUAGAGCAUGUAUCUGUGCUUAUGUGGAUGACUUGUAGAACAUGUUCUCUAUCUUGUAUUUUUUGGAUGAAACUCGGAACAUAUAUUCAGUACUGAAGAAGCAUGGAAAAUUUCUAAGAGCCAGUUUACUUUUGGUUAAUCCAGUGUAGCAUCGAUUAACUUCUAAAAAACAUGCUUUAUCUUGCAUCCAGGGGCGGUGCAAGGCCCCAGGGCCUCAGCUUGGGGUGUGACUGCUCACUCAAUUCUUUGUGUGUAGCCACUGUUCAUUAUUGUAGAUAUUGUUACUGAUUGCAUGUGCAACGCAUACUCCUUCAAAAUAAAACUUUGGCCGAAUUGGUGGCCUCCCGUUUAAUGGAGGCCGAAAAUCCUUGCGUCUUAUUGGGACGUCGCAUGUAGAUUGUAGCCCAUUGAUACUAAUCAAAUGUAUAAUGGUUGGUACAAUGUCAAGGGUAUCUGUAAAGGUGAAUGACGAUGAACAUGUAUGAUAAUCCAUGGCUUUUGUGAAGUUCAUAAGUAACUUCAGCUUCCCAGACAUGCUACACCAUUUCUUUGUCUUCCAUUCCCCGGUUAGACAAAAGUUGUUGACCUCAUAUGUAUAGGCUUGAGGUUGAUCCAAAUCACCUGAUGAAUGCAAAAUGCCCACGCGUAUGAUAUUCUGAUCUUGACAACAACAUCAAUGCUACCUCGCAAGUCAUCUAAUAUCUUCAUAUUCACUACGCUCCAUCAUACCCUUUGGAUCAGAAUUAUAUAAAAGUAAAAAAUAUUAACAUCUUAACCCCAGAAUCUUAACAUGUUGAUCCAAAACCAAGCUUUUGCAAUGCACUAAUAUUUUUGUGACAGUUUUCAAGGAAAACAUUCUGAGCAAGAAUAGACAAAAAAAAAU
rnacentral:lncRNA from 1 species